CCAAGUAAAAUGAGGGACAUGCCCACCCAGGGGAUGGGGCAGAAGAAGCAAUAAUGGAAGAUUGGUUCAAUAUCAAGGGAUGUAUAAUUAAAAUAAGUAAGUAAAAACACAUUCAUUAUAAUAACACACUAAGAUCAUGAGAAUCAUAUUUAGCACUUUCAGAGGAAAAGAUAGAAUGCGUUCUUGUGCUGAACUGGAAUUAGAUGCAUCAGUAUGUACAUGGCUAUCAAUACAGAUAGACAAAGAAAUAAUACAAAAGAUCUUAGAAUAAGACAAAUACAAAUUAAAUGUAGCUACAGUGACUAUAUAGUAAAAAAGCAUGGUAGAUAUCACAUCAGUCAGCUUUUUAUUGCUGAGAAACAACCUGAGACAGUGUACAAGGAAGAAGUUUAGUCUGGUGAUGGAAUAGGUCAUUGGUUAAUUAUAAUAAACCAACUGCUUGGCCUCAUAGCUUAGAACAUAGGGGGGAGGAGUAGACAGAAUAGAAUUCUGGGCGGAAGAGGAAGUGAGGUCAGACUCUGCUCUGCUCCCGGAGAGACUCGACAGCUCUGCUCUCUGGAGCAGAGACGCCAUGCUCAGCUCUCCUGGGUAGACCCGACAGCUCUGCUCUCUGGAGCAGCGACGCCAGGCUUCGCCCUCCCAGGCAACUCCAACCCAGGAUGGACAUAGGCUAGAAUCUUCCCGGUUGCCUGUACAGACUGUGGUGUACUAUCUGGGCCAGGCCAGACAAUCUGCAGGUUCGACAUCGCCCGGGCAGUUGGACAGACACUGGCAGAACCUUCAUCUGGCGAUGGAUGGAGAUAGAGACAGAGACCCAUACUGGAGCACUGGACUGAGCUCCCAAUGUCCUAUUGAGGAGCAGAAAGAGGGAGAACAUGAGCAAAGAAGUCAGGACCACAAGGGAUGCACCCACCCACGGAGACAGUGGGGCUGAUCUAUUGGGAGCUCACCAAGGCCAGCUGGACUGUGACUGAAAAAGCAUGGGAUAAAACCGGACUCUUUGAAUAUGGCGGACAAUGA